rnacentral:tRNA from 1 species
GGUAAGAUGGCCGAGGUAGGUGGCGGGUUGUAGCCCCGUUUACAGGACAUAUGUCCUUCUUAUCA